CCUGUUCCCUAAAUGUCUCUGCAAGGUCCUGACAAAGAGGAUUCCAUCAAAGCAUUUCCUGGAAGAAAGAAACCAUGGCGUGAAUUCUCCACAAGUGUUGACAAUUCUGUAGAAGAGGGCUAAACGUGUUUUUGGACUUCAAUGGAACCAAACUGCGUCACCUGAGAGCGGAGGAGGUGAGAGACCGCCCCUUAUGGAACAAUAACAAAAAAUCACCUCCCCAGUGGCUUAAAAGGAGAGCACACAUACAGGCAGACAAUAUUGCAAGACUUUUAUUCUCUCUCACACACAUUCACAGAUAAAGUUUAGGCAUCGAAUAGUUGGUUCCUGGGCCUUAAACCUCCCAAGUAAGUCAAAUCUUUCCUCUUAUUGAUAAUGAUGAAAUGAAAACAUAUUGUCUAAGUGUGAAAACUAUGGAUGUUAUUAAAAGUUGUGUGAUGUUAAAAAAACGAAAUCAUUAGAUAUGUUUCUGUAGUGUCAAUGAUUGAAGUAAUUUAAACAUCCUGAUGUCUAUUGCAGCUUCCUGAUCCAUGCUCCAAAGGACAGAUCUAGGAUCAGCUCACUCUCGUCAAAUCCAAACCAGGACCUUAAUAAUCCACAAAGGGGAAAACGGACCUGAGACCAUCAUUUAAACCCCACGUCUUCCUGCCCAGACACUGCUCUCCAUCCAGAGUUCCUCCUGUGCUCCAGCUGUCCAUCCGUCUAUCCACACCCCAGCCAACCAGCCAUGGGUCUGAUGAGUGAAGACAUGAAUUGUUGCGUCUGCUUCCAACCCUACUCUCGCAGGGAGAAAAUCCCCCGGGUGCUCCACUGCGAACACACCUUCUGUGGGCCGUGCUUGGAGACAAUCUCCAGGCUCCAGAGUGGCCUCCUGACCGCGUGCUGCCCUCUGUGUCGCUGGAUCACCUGUAGCCAGGUCAGCCUACCCUUUUCUGGUUCUCUGGUUGUCAACACUGAGAUCUGGGACCAGAUAGCAGACAGACAGGAGGAAGAGGAGGAGAUGGAGGCGUGGAUACCAAAUAACAGACAGACACAGACCUCCACACAGUACAAAUGCUCUUCAUUGGGGCAUUCUGGUGUGAGGAUCAAGCACCAGAGUUUCUGGAGGAGAAUGAGGCACAAUGGUCAGAGAGCACUAAAAGAAGGGAAGAAAUUAAGGUCUUGGUUGUGUUUUGAUAGAUGAUGUCACCGUAGUAGUUUAGGACAGGAAGCAGCAGUUGGGAUACCAAGGACUUUCUUUUUUAGUAUUUCUUUUUUAUAUUUUAUACAAUAUACUGUCUACAAUCUUUAUAAUUAAAACAAAUAUGUAACCUUUAUUUGAACAUGUAUUUAUUUUGAGACCUAGUUUCUCUUUUUCAAAAGAACCCUGUAAUAUGAUUGUCCCUUUAUGUCUGAAGCGCAUAUUUUUUGUACUCAAGUGAUAUUUAUUGCUAUCAUUGUAAAAUAAAUUAAUCUGCUUUAAAAUAACU
rnacentral:lncRNA from 1 species